rnacentral:rRNA from 1 species
GUCCACGCCGUAAACGAUGGUCACUAGGUGUAUGCGGUAUCGACCCCGCAUGUGCCGCAGCUAACGCAAUAAGUGACCCGCCUGGGGAGUACGGCCGCAAGGUUGAAACUCAAAGGAAUUGACGGGGGCCCGCACAAGCGGUGGAGCAUGGGGAUUAAUUCGUCACUAACCGAAGAACCUUACCAGGGUUUGACAUCCGCGGCAAGUCCGUGAAAGCGGUACCCUCCGGGGCAACCCGGACCGCGAGACAGGUGUUGCAUGGCUGUCGU